GGUCCCGGGGUGUCACACGCAAGUUUGCAAGUCUUGAGAAGCAGAAUAAAUUCUGCCGGGGCUU
rnacentral:tRNA from 1 species